rnacentral:rRNA from 1 species
UACGGAGGGUGCGAGCGUUGUUCGGAAUCACUGGGCGUAAAGCGCGUGUAGGCGGCCCACUAAGUCUGAUGUGAAAGCCCGGGGCUCACCCCCGGAAGUGCAUUGGAAACUGGUGGACUCGAGUCCCGGAGAGGAGAGUGGAAUUCCUGGUGUAGCGGUGAAAUGCGUAGAUAUCAGGAGGAACACCGGUGGCGAAGGCGGCUCUCUGGACGGUGACUGACGCUGAGGCGCGACAGCGUGGGGAGCAAACAGG